CCGAGUUGCAAGACUCCCAACCAUCGUGAACCGCUACCCUGUCGUUGCUUCGGCGGGCGGCCCCUGGGAGGGGCCGCUGCCGCGCCUGGCGCCCGCCGGAGCGACCCACAAACACACAAACCAUAGCCUGCCGGUGUCUCUCUGAAUCUUUUUACAGAAACGAAUCA
rnacentral:misc_RNA from 1 species